rnacentral:rRNA from 1 species
AGAGCUCAAAUUUUGAGUCUGGCGGUCUCCGGCCGUCCGAGUUGUAAUCUAGAGAAGCGUCAUCCGUGCCGGACCGCAUGUAAGUCCCCUGGAACGGGGCGUCGUAGAGGGUGAGAAUCCCGUCUUUAAUGCGGAUCCCGACGCUGUACGAUGCGCUCUCGAAGAGUCGAGUUGUUUGGGAAUGCAGCUCAAAACGGGUGGUAAAUUCCAUCUAAAGCUAAAUAUUGGCGAGAGACCGAUAGCGAA